AUGUCAAGGCUGGCCGCCAGCCUCAGCUGUCCCGCAGAGGACGGGCUGGACCUCACAGUAUUGGGACCUGGGCUCUGUGGAAACUGGGAGAGGCUGGACACAGUGAGCCUGGCAGGAUCGCGUCCGCAUGUGAAGGAUGGAGUGUCUGCGGCGGAUGGAGCAGGACCGGACAGCUGUGGUCAGCUGGAUGUCCAUUCUGAGUACCUGAGCUGGGACAGAGCCAGGAGGAAGGUGGGCAGCCGGUGCCGCCAUGCACUUGUCUUUCCCAGUCACCUGGAACUCAUCCACAAAGAAGGAUGUCAAUGUCUCUGGCAAAAAUGGUCAUUUACGACAGUGUGCUGUGUACCGGGGGUUUUCCCUUGUGUAUUUCAUCAUACAAAAGACUUAUUCCAGGAGUUUAUAUUACAAGUUGGCAUCGGAGCAGCUGCAGAACCAACCCGAGGCACAGGAAGCUCUGGACCCUCCUGUCAACAUCCACUAUCUCAAGCUCACGGGCAAGGACAACUUUGUGGACAUUGCUGAUGCCAAGUUGAAGAUUCCUGUCUCUGGAUCCAAAUCAGAGGGUCAUCUCCACGUCCACUCAACCAGGAGUGGCCCCUGUCAGAGGUGGCACCUUGACUAGGUCUUAGAGCUCAAGGAUGGUCAGCAGAUUCCUGUGUUCAACCUCAGUGGGGAAAAUGGUGAUGAAGUGAAAAAGGAGUAGAGAAGACCCAGAAGACCCAGCUUGCUUCUAGUCCAGCCUUUCCUCAUCUUCACCAUCUGCCCACUGGUGUGGUGGCCCAUCUGAGUGACAGAUACUCCUGCAAGCCAGUUUUUCAGCCACCAGUAGGAUGACUGUAUGUGCCAUCAUAUGGUAAUUUUGGUAUAACUCUAACUUGGGCACAACAAAUGCUAUUUGUCAUUUUUAAACUGAAUCAGAAAGAAACUCUUAUAAAUUUAAGAUGAUUUAUUUGAAAGUGAUUUGUAUAAAAAUGCACACGAUAAAAGGAAUCAGAAUUUAAAAAAAAGUUCGUU